rnacentral:rRNA from 1 species
AUGAACGCUGGCGGCGUGCCUCAUACAUGCAAGUCGAGCGAACGGACGAGAAGCUUGCUUCUCUGAUGUUAGCGGCGGACGGGUGAGUAACACGUGGAUAACCUACCUAUAAGACUGGGAUAACUUCGGGAAACCGGAGCUAAUACCGGAUAAUAUUUUGAACCGCAUGGUUCAAAAGUGAAAGACGGUCUUGCUGUCACUUAUAGAUGGAUCCGCGCUGCAUUAGCUAGUUGGUAAGGUAACGGCUUACCAAGGCAACGAUGCAUAGCCGACCUGAGAGGGUGAUCGGCCACACUGGAACUGAGACACGGUCCAGACUCCUACGGGAGGCAGCAGUAGGGAAUCUUCCGCAAUGGGCGAAAGCCUGACGGGGCAACGCCGCGUGAGUGAUGAAGGUCUUCGGAUCGUAAAACUCUGUUAUUAGGGAAGAACAUAUGUGUAAGUAACUGUGCACAUCUUGACGGUACCUAAUCAGAAGGCCACGGCUAACUACGUG